CCUACGGGUGGCAGCAGUGAGGAAUAUUGGUCAAUGGACGAGAGUCUGAACCAGCCAAGUAGCGUGAAGGAUGACUGCCCUAUGGGUUGUAAACUUCUUUUAUAUGGGAAUAAAAUGUUCCACGUGUGGGAUUUUGUAUGUACCAUAUGAAUAAGGAUCGGCUAAUUCCGUGCCAGCAGCCGCGGUAAUACGGAGGAUCCGAGCGUUAUCCGGAUUUAUUGGGUUUAAAGGGAGCGUAGGUGGAGUGUUAAGUCAGUUGUGAAAGUUUGCGGCUCAACCGGAAAAUUGCAGUUGAAACUGGCAGUCUUGAGUACAGUAGAGGUAGGCGGAAUUCGUGGUGGAGCGGUGAAAGGCAUAGAUAUCACGAAGAACCCCGAUUGCGAAGGCAGCUCACUGGACUGCGACUGACACUGAGGCUCGAAAGUGUGGGUAUCAAACAGGAUUAGAUACCCGUGUAGUC
rnacentral:rRNA from 1 species